rnacentral:rRNA from 1 species
GAUGAACGCUGGCGGCGUGCCUAAUACAUGCAAGUCGAGCGUGCGGACGAGAAGCUUGCUUCUCUGAUGUUAGCGGCGGACGGGUGAGUAACACGUGGAUAACCUACCUAUAAGACUGGGAUAACUUCGGGAAACCGUAGCUAAUACCGGAUAAUAUUUUGAACCGCAUGGUUCAAAAGUGAAAGACGGUCUUGCUGUCACUUAUAGAUGGAUCCGCGCUGCAUUAGCUAGUUGGUAAGGUAACGGCUUACCAAGGCAACGAUGCAUAGCCGACCUGAGAGGGUGAUCGGCCACACUGGAACUGAGACACGGUCCAGACUCCUACGGGAGGCAGCAGUAGGGAAUCUUCCGCAAUGGGCGAAAGCCUGACGGAGCAACGCCGCGUGAGUGAUGAAGGUCUUCGGAUCGUAAAACUCUGUUAUUAGGGAAGAACAUAUGUGUAAGUAACUGUGCACAUCUUGACGGUACCUAAUCAGAAAGCCACGGCUAACUACGUG